rnacentral:rRNA from 1 species
UACAGAGGGUGCGAGCGUUAAUCGGAAUUAUUGGGCGUAAAGGGCGCGUAGGCGGCCAUGCGUGUCUUCCGUGAAAUCCCUCGGCUUAACUGAGGACGUGCGGAAGAAACUGCAAGGCUCGAGUCCGGGAGAGGAAUGUGGAAUUCCAGGUGUAGCGGUGAAAUGCGUAGAUAUCUGGAGGAACACCGGUGGCGAAGGCGGCAUUCUGGACCGAAACUGACGCUGAGGCGCGAAAGCCAGGGGAGCAAACGGG